rnacentral:lncRNA from 1 species
AAAACUGGGAUGAGAAUCCCCAUUAGAGAGGAGAAAGACUAGCUGGCUGUGGCUCUGUGGAUGCUGUAAUUCUAAGUGACAUUCUGGCCUCCCUGACACAGAGUUGACAAAUGACAAGCUGGCAACACUGGAAACAGAUUUCCCAUUGAUCCACAAAACAGCUCUACAACGUCUGCAAGCAAAUGGAAAUGUAACAAGCU